UCCGUUAGGGCACGCAGGCCGGCGAACUGGCGCCGCUACUGGAAUGGGCGGAUUGGCGGCGCGGGCGCCAUGGAGACCCCCUGUCAGUCACUGGCUCUCUCUGCCAAUCAAGACUGCGACCAGCGCGCCCGGGUCAUUUCAGCACCUCCCCGCUCUCGACAGCGCCCGCCGUUUACCCGUGGACUUUUCCUCAGUAUUUUGCAGAAUCUGGAGGAGGAAAACACUGGAGAGUGGCUGGGAGAAAGGGGAAGGCAAGAACAGCAGCCUUUCAAUACCCUCAUCCAGCCUUGUUCCUCCACCCCCGCCCCCCACCCUUGCCAAAAGAGGCAGUGGUGCUACAGGAAUCCACUUUGGAGUGAUGCGCUGCCUGGGUCAAGAGGUCUCCAGAGGACAAUGAGGACUGGGCCAAAUCGAAAUCCUCCAAGAAUUCGCCAAGUUUAAUUGUAAUGAAACAGAAAACUUUGGGGGGAGCGCACGAAUGGGGAGGGAGGGAAAUAGAUCACCCCAUUUCCCCCCAGCAUCCAUCCCCGCAUGCAUUUCCCCCUUUUCCAGCUGCAAAGCAGCCGAGUGGGAAGCGAAUCUGAAGCAGAAGGAACGGGACCAGGGAUCUGUUAAGAGGUCAGUUUGGGCUAUCCCCACCAUCUUCAAAAGCCUCCUGAAAUCAUUUUAAAUACGAGCUAGAACAACUGUCACACCUGAUAACACAGGUGUUGACCAUGAAGUCAAACACUCAAGAAAGGGAGUUGCACCUCCCCAAAAGUUUAUACUUUUCAGCAGUAACCCCCCUCCCCAGUUUAAUGGACUUCAACAAAUGUGCAGCCUAGCCACAUCUAGAGUGAGAAGUCACGGGUAGGUCAGGACAGCAACUUAAAAGCUUAUUUCAAAGAUCUUUUUUAAAAAUAUUGAUUUGCUCUUCUUGCAGGCUGAUUUUGCCCUACCCUGUGUUAGAACAUUUAACUCGAGCUGAGCUGGGAAUAGAAACUGUAACCUUGGCCUUUUUGCCCCAGAGGAAUUCCGUACAAGUAGAGAAAGGGGAAUCACAGAAAUGGGGGUGGUGGUGGAGCAGAAAACCCUUUCUAAGCUGCUGAGCACUGACCCCUCCUGCAGAGAGGAAGGGCCUUCUAGGCAGCUCCGCCUUAGGGCCAGCAGAUUGAAUUGGCAACUUUUAUUGAUUCCCAAUUGACAUCCACAUCAUACCAUUUUCUGAGGUCUCUGUCAAAAGAAACCAUGAUCUCACCUGGGCCUUUGAUAGGGGCUUGUUUAGUGUGAAGAAAAUAAUUGGGAGAGGGGAGUCCUUCGAAAAUGCCUGGAAAACUAUCGUUGGGUCCAUCCCUAAAGGAAUCAGAUGGGAAUAUUCACCUCCGAACUGGACUGGACCCGGCUGUCUUUUCUUUAGUAUCAAGUACAAUUUGUAUGCGGCUUGUACAGCUCUGGUAAAUCAGAAGGCAGAUAGAUAGCACAGAUGGUUGGAGGUGUCAGGUCAGAUUAUGCUACGCCUGAGUGCAGGGCAAAGCUCGUUCUGACGGAAAACCCUGAUAUUAUUUUCACAGAUCUUCACAGUUCACUCGAAAAAAAUAGCCUAGGUUGGGGGGGGGGGGGAGGAGGAAGCCCUGCAACCAUUUACAUCAUUUCUGUGAGAUUGCUAGCCGCCUCGAUGCAGAGGCUUUCUUUUCUAAGAGUUCAUUUUCUUGAAAUGCGACAGGGCAGGGGCAAAAUACAGAGGGCGGUGAGUAUAAUGUCAAAGCACAAAUCUUCCCUAGCUUGGGGCGAUUUCCAAAUUCGCAGAAGAAACAACUUUUAGUGGAAACAUCGAACACAAGUGCCCAAAAUACGCAGUAUAGAAAACCCGGGCUUUGGGGAUCGGGCAAGGGUGAAGCGGAACCCAGGAAGGCGGUGGUUCCCGGCACUGGCACUUCUGGCCAGGGAAAGAAAGAAUCGCCUCGCUCCAGUUUGCGCAAGUUUCUUAUUUUUCCCUCUCGGGGUGUCUCCCCUGCUGGCUCCCCUUAGCAGAAUGGCUUCACGCUCACCUUCCACGCGGAAGAAGCCGAAAGUCUGGGACACCCUACAGCCCCGAACCCAGAGAGGACCCCAACACCUGCACUUAGCCGCUGGAGAGUAGAGACACACGUGGAGCCCCCGUUACACCUUGCUGAAUGGUUUGCCAGCUGAGAGCGCUGCUUAGAGGUCAACACAGUCUUAUCUCUUGUUUUGUUUUGUCUGUUGUCCUGUUUUAUCUUUGACUUUUUUCUAAAUCAAACACAUGUAAAAUAAGUGGUAUAUUUUCGUUUUCUUUCCUACAUAAUUUAACAUAGUCAGGGAUUUGAAGAAUGUAGUCACUGAGGCAUCUGAAUUCCUUGAUAAAGACAUUUGUGCUGCAUGUGAGAGUCAUAGACUGAAAGACAAUGAGGUCCUAGCCUUUUGUGUAAAUUCAUUUUGACUUUUGGGGGAGAGAUCUUGGUUUCCCUUUCCUUGGCCUCAAAGCUGUGUGUUGCCGGUGGGUGAGAAUAACAUAAAAAAGGAUCUGGGAAAUUUAUCCAUGGUUUAUUUUUAAGAUCUAGAAAGUUUAAAAAAGCAUUUUACUGUCUUUGAAUUUACAGUAUUAAAUUCACUUUCAAACAUUUAUUCAUAUAUUUAGUAUUGUGAUUUUCAGAUGAUACCAUAUGCAUAAUAUAGAAAUGUUUGUUUCUGUAUUUGGUUGUCUAAAUCUUUAGAUUUUAGAAUUAAUUCAAUAUCCUACUUUUAAAGUGCUUACUGUCCUAAUAAGAUCCCAAGGUAGAUUGUGCUAUUUCAUGCAUUCUUCCCCUGCCAGUAUGCACCUUGUAACAAAGAACAGAGAUGCCUCUUUAUUGUGUAUUCUUGAGAACAAACACCAUUUAAGAAAUAUUUUGUAGAUUUCCUGGCACUGUGAGAUUGACUGGCAAAAAUUAUUACAAUUCAAUAAUUUAAGAGAUUGAAGUAUAUUUGUUGUUAUUUGCAAAAUUAUUCACCAAUUAUUUUUUAAAUGACGUAAAAUUGCAUAUGUUGUCAAGUGGAGGGAAUUUGUAUAAGUUUAAAUGUGGGAAGAUGUACCAUUUGAAAGUGGUUAUUAAUUAGCAGUAAUGUGUUUUUUAAAAAAUGUUAGGCUGACUAUACAACUCUGUUUCGACUUCUAGUUUGUGGUUAAUCCUAGGCAUUUGUAUUUAAACCAAAGAGUAUAUUUCAAGGCCUAUUUCUUGUUUAAACUAUGCUCUUAAAUUCACUUUUCUCUUUCUUCUGCUUCUGUGGCAUAAGUCUAAAUCUGCAUGGGACUAACUAUACCACAGCAUAGCUUGCUUAAGACUAUAUAUCAAUGGGCUCUUGUAUGAAGGAUUAAUGCUUUAAAAUGUAACCUGCAUGUCACUAAUAAACACUUUAUUAUCAGUAAUGAAAAUUA